UUAUGUUGUGUAUAUGAUAGGGUUGAUAUUGCCAAUUAGUUUUCUGUAAUAUGUUGAUAUUUAUUUACUAUGUGUAUAAACUGCGACAGAAUUUUGCACGCCAAUAAAUGGCUGAAUGUAAAUGGAAACCAGAAUUAUCACCCUAACAUCUUUACGUCUAUGUACCUACACUCUUGCAAAUAAACAUUUAUCUUAUCAUA